GCAAUACAACUGGGUGGCGACCGGCGCACGGGUGAGUAACGCGUAUGCAACCUACCUAUCAGAGGGGAAUAACCCGGCGAAAGUCGGACUAAUACCGCAUAAAACAGGGACACCGCAUGGUGAUAUUUGUUAAAGAAAUUCGCUGAUAGAUGGGCAUGCGUUCCAUUAGGUAGUUGGUGAGGUAACGGCUCACCAAGCCGACGAUGGAUAGGGGAACUGAGAGGUUGGUCCCCCACACUGGUACUGAGACACGGACCAGACUCCUACGGGAGGCAGCAGUGAGGAAUAUUGGUCAAUGGGCGAGAGCCUGAACCAGCCAAGUCGCGUGAAGGAAGAAGGAUCUAUGGUUCGUAAACUUCUUUUGCAGGGGAAUAAAGUGCAGGACGUGUCCUGUUUUGUAUGUACCCUGAGAAUAAGGAUCGGCUAACUCCGUGCCAGCAGCCGCGGUAAUACGGAGGAUCCGAGCGUUAUCCGGAUUUAUUGGGUUUAAAGGGUGCGUAGGUGGUUUGAUAAGUCAGCGGUGAAAGUUUGCAGCUUAACUGUAAAAAUGCCGUUGAAACUGUCGGACUUGAGUGUAAAUGAGGUAGGCGGAAUGCGUGGUGUAGCGGUGAAAUGCUUAGAUAUCACGAACAACUCCGAUUG
rnacentral:rRNA from 1 species